GGCUCUGGUCUGAGGUCACACAGUGAGAAGGGGCGCUCCCGCUGGGUUUUGAGAACAAAGGGAAAGUUGGGAAUAGUGCUACUUCUCCCAGACAAGCUUUGCCAGGGAUGAAGCCUCAGCUUCCCAGCCUAUUCUCUUGACCUCCAGGACCCCCCAGUAUCACCUCUCUUGCUACAGCUUCUUCUCUUACCUCUCCUUCCCAAUCUCUGGUACCAGGUUCAUUUGCUCACUUUCACCAGCCCUUGUUUCUGCUCACAACCUUCAGUGACUCACUAUCACCCUUGGACUGAAGCUCAGACUCCUCCCUGUGACAUUCUGGUCCCUCCAGGAUAUUACCACAACCCAUUUUUCCAGUCCAAGUGCCCACUGCUCUUUGCAGCUGCAAUCAGGUGCAUCUAAGAAGGUAUGAAGGUGAGAAGAAGGAGAAUAAAAGAAGAUGGGAAGAUAAGAAAGAAGGAAGAAAGGAGGGAGGAGGAGGAAACAAAUGUGAAGAUGAGGAGGUGCAGGGAGAUAGUGAUAUGCCCUGAGGUACUGGGGGUAAAAACCAAGCAGAAACCAGGAGCAUCAAAGUUCUGGGAAUCAGCUUUACUCCAUCUCUAUCAACACCUGCUCUGGAGAACACAGGAUCUUAACUUACAACUCUGCCUCAGCGUCCCAGAGUGCUGGGAUUAUAAUUAUGGGCCACCAUGCCUGGGUCACAUUCACUCUUUUAAAGCGUGCAGUUGGAUGGGUUGUGAAAGACACGUGUGCAGUAUCUCCACCUCUGCAAUCAAGAUGUGCAUUUCCAUUCACCACAGAAAGUUGCUUUGUGCCCCUUGGUGGAUUCCAUCUCCUAUCCCAGCUCCUGGCAUCCACUGAUGUGGUUUGGCCUUUUUCAGAUGCCAUUAAAUAGA
rnacentral:lncRNA from 1 species